GUCCAGCUGACGAGUCCCAAACAGGACGAAGCGCGCGUCCUGGAU
rnacentral:hammerhead_ribozyme from 1 species